rnacentral:lncRNA from 1 species
UCCAGCUAGUCAGCCACAGCUAUUAAGCACUACACCUCAAGAUACCUAAACCCAAACGGGAACAACAUAAACUAUUAAGCCUUGAACUCCAGUUUCCAGUCACCAUGCUUUCACCUGUCUUCAUUCUCUGGGUUUUCAUGGUUGAGAUAUUCAGAUCCUGGGGUUUGAUGAAUAACCUAGCCCCAGGUUGUUAAGAGCUGCCAAAUCCCCUUUUCCCCCAUAGAGUGGCACGCUCAGACUCCUCCUGAGGGAGGAACCUGCAGGCUGUGGACAUUGGUCGCAGGCAGGGAGCUUGAGAUGUGAGCUGAGGACUGUGUGGCUUGGAGCAGUUGAAGAUGUGCAGCCACUGUCUCCAGGUCCCCGUGUUCCUCUUUCAAGUCCAGAGUAUAGGGACCAAGAAGCAGCUGCCAGACCCAAAAGCCUGCUUUUAAACAUAGGUGUGGUGCAUUUGAGAGAGCAAGAAGAGGAAGAAAAAGAUCCCGCAAACCCCAGAAUACUCUGUGUACCAAGAGAAGAAACAUCAGCUUCCUAGCUGUUGCACACACUGGCCAGGUAAAUUCCCAGCCUACAAUAAUCCUCCAUAUCUACACAGAAAGUUUUGAUUUCUGCACAUGAAUGCAGUGAAAACAUGGAUUGGUGUUUCUGUCCCAUUGCCAUAUCUGGAGAUAUGUACUUGCUGAUUUUUAAGUUUUAAGAAGUCCACCUUUGUGUAAAUUGAUCAGCUUUUUAGAAAGGGAUCUUUCUAAUAUUGGCAAAUUGAGACCAUAGUAAAAGUUUUGUCAGCAAAGAUCCAUUCAGUCCACUGAGGGUGGCUUCAUCUGAAUCCUUCAUGCCACUGGCAUCAUUGGGCUUUCUACUCUAAUCAUCUUAAAAACUAUCUUAAUUCUCCAUUCUGGUCUCUGUAAAUGACACCUCAGAUGGUUUAUAAACUUAGUAACCUUCCUCUCAAUUAAAAUUACAUAUGUGUUCUGUGACAUACAUCACCUGUAUGUAAAGGGACAGGUUGGAUGGUGGAAAAGCUAUGCUGAAAUGUGGAUAUCAGAUAUUUUUGUAUGUAAUAUAGACAUUACACUGAAACUCUGAGAGGUGUAUCAGAAUAAACACAUUUUAAAAUAAAAGCAUGCAAAACUGUAGCAUUUAAAUGUAC